rnacentral:lncRNA from 1 species
UCCCUCAUCGUGCAAGCGUCGCCAUGGCAAGCCCCAUCCACCCCAUCUCUGUCGUGAAGCUUCUAUUGUGCCACCUCCUCCGAGCGCUUGAACUUCCUGCUGGUGAGCAACCCCCGCCCAAGGCACGGCCCUGCCUGCUCCGAAGCCCCACGCCUUCCUUUCCCCCUGCCGCUGGCCAAGGGCCAUGACUGGCCGGCCAAGUUCCCGUGAGUCUGUUUUGUGUUGGUGCGCCAGGGAUCUUAGGGAAGAAAAAGGAGAAAAAGAGGGGGUUAUGGUGGAAGUUUCCAGGGACCCUUUUGUGAAAGUUGAAUAGAUCUGAGGGUGGUUUUGAGAAAUAACCUUGGAUGUGUUUUAUUUCUUAGAUUUAAAUAGCUGCAAACUUGGAAAAUGCAUAGAAAUGUGUAGAAAAAUGCUAAAAAUGUGAAUCUUGUUUUUUUGGAUUCCUUAUGAGAUCUAGUUUAUUUCGAAAUUGAGUAUGUGCAUGCUAUUGUUGUAUAUUUUUCUCCAUGUAUUAUUGUUCUCUAGACUUGUUAAAUGCCUUAUAAAUCAUGUGGUGGUCCAAAAAUCAUGAAACCAAUUUUAUUAGCUUCCAUUUAUCAUGUAUGUUCCAGAUCUAUAACUUGUAUUAAUGGAAUAUAUGGUUUUCAUGCUGUUUUAAGUCUAAUGCUUGUUUGCUGUCUUAAUCUUGUUAUUGCAUGGUAAUUACUGGAAAAUAUAUAAAAUGUUGAAACCACUUCUGUUCCUUUGUUGUCCAUAUACAAUCCAUGAAAAAUGAUAUUGAUGCUUUUAUGGUUAAUUUACAAGCCUUUUUGGAUUUAAUGUGCUUAAUGGUAGUUUAUCUUGUUUAUUUU